rnacentral:rRNA from 1 species
UACGGAGGAUGCAAGCGUUAUCCGGAAUGAUUGGGCGUAAAGCGUCUGUAGGCGGCUUUUUAAGUCCGCCGUCAAAUCCCAGGGCUCAACCCUGGACAGGCGGUGGAAACUGCCAAGCUGGAGUACGGUAGGGGCAGAGGGAAUUUCCGGUGGAGCGGUGAAAUGCGUAGAGAUCGGAAAGAACACCAACGGCGAAAGCACGCUGCUGGGCCGGCACUGACACUGAGAGACGAAAGCGAGGGGAGCGAAUGGG